UUUUUAUUUUUGUUUAAAUAUGGCAUGGGAAGUUGUGCCACCUUCUUCAUUGGGGAAAAAAAAAAGAGAGGAAAUCCUAACCCUAAUCCCAUUGCCGCCACUGCCACCUUCUCUACCGCCAUUGUGUUCUUCGUCAGCCGUUGCCCCUACCCGAACCCGUGUGAGUCCGCGUCGCGCAGCCAACCCGAGCCGUCUCCGCCUCUCUUCGUCUCCGUCGUCGCAUCGUCUACCAAGUGUCGUCGUGCUCCGUCAGCGUCUUUCAAAGCUCGGGCCAGCCAGCCAUUUCGAUCACGUUGGUCGUUAUCCGUCAGCAUUCGUCCGAACCUCACAAGUCGCCGGAGCAGCCGCAUCUUCGCGAAAGGAGUCUCGCGCCGUUCUUGCGCCACGCGACCCGAGCCGCCUUCCUCGGUCUGAUCCAUCGCCAUAAACCCAAACCUGAGCCACACGUGCGUAAGCCCUCACUCGUGCAAGUCGCGCGCCCACCUUACCCAAGUCGAGCUGCAUGCGUGUCUUUCAGCCGAGCCAUUUCCCUGUCUUAGCCGAGCCAGUCCCUGUCUUCCAAGCCAUUUGAGCCACCUAGCCUAUUUUGGUCCUUCUCACCUGUUUUGGACCGUUUGGAUCGUUUAGAAGUGGAACUGAGGAAUUCGCCCAGUUAAGGCUAAGUUGAUAUCAACCUUGAUUUUGGGCAGAGGUAGAGGUAAGGGCAAAGGCAAGCUGGCGACUGAUAAGAAGUGAUCGUGGCGAGCCAUAGAGACCAUUUCGCUUCCGCUUUAUGUCAUUGUUCGGAUUUCAGUAUUUGCAUUUUUAUUUUAUUCUUUUACUCUAUUUUAUUUCUUUAAAAUUAGAUAGGGCUCGAG